GAUGAAGAACGUAGCGAAAUGCGAUACGUAGUGUGAAUUGCAGAAUUCAGUGAAUCAUCGAAUCUUUGAACGCACAUUGCACCUCUCGGUAUUCCGGGAGGUAUGCCUGUUCGAGCGUCAUUUGUACCCUCAAGCUCUGCUUGGUGUUGGGUGUUUGUUCCGCCUCUGUGUGUGAACUCGCCUCAAAACAAUUGGCAGCCGGCGUACUUGUUUCGGGGCGCAGCACAUUUUGCGAUCCAGAUCAACGUACAGCGGCAUCCAAGAAGCCUUAUUUAACGCUCUUGACCUCGGAUCAGGUAGGGAUACCCGCUGAACUUAAGCAUAUCAAUAAGCGGAGGA
rnacentral:misc_RNA from 1 species